rnacentral:rRNA from 1 species
CCUACGGGAGGCAGCAGUGGGGGAUAUUGCACAAUGGGGGAAACCCUGAUGCAGCGACGCCGCGUGUGGGAAGACGGUCCUCUGGAUUGUAAACCACUGUCCCCAGGGACGAAGAUGACGGUACCUGGGGAGGAAGCUCCGGCUAACUACGUGCCAGCAGCCGCGGUAAUACGUAGGGAGCGAGCGUUGUCCGGAAUUACUGGGUGUAAAGGGAGCGUAGGCGGGACUGCAAGUUGGGGGUAAAAUCUACGGGCUCAACCGGUAGCCGCACUCAAAACUGCAGUUCUUGAGUGAAGUAGAGGCAGGCGGAAUUCCUAGUGUAGCGGUGAAAUGCGUAGAUAUUAGGAGGAACACCAGUGGCGAAGGCGGCCUGCUGGGCUUUUACUGACGCUGAGGCUCGAAAGUGUGGGGAGCAAACAGUAUUAGAUACCCGAGUAGUC